GUUUGAGAACCAAGUUGAAGAUCAAGAAGAAGAUGAUUAUGAUGAGGAAGUUGGUGGUCUGAUCAAUUCAGACGGAGAAGAAAUCGGUUGGGAUCGCCAUCGUAUCAGACAGAGUGUCAGCCAUCCCUCUACAUCAGGAGAACCUGAACAACACCAGGACAACCACAACAACACAAAGUCCAAGUCUCACCACUGCUUCAAAUGUGGGAAAGACUUUGCCAACAUCUCUAACCUACGGCGACACCAGAAGAGACACACAGGAGAGAGUUCCGACCACCGAUCUGACAGCGAAGCCAGG